rnacentral:rRNA from 1 species
AGGAAUAUUGGGCAAUGCCCGCAAGGGUGACCCAGCAACGCCGCGUGGAGGAUGAAUGUCGUAAGAUUGUAAACUCCUGUUAGAGGGGAAGAAUAGUACCGGUUGGACCGGUAUAUGACUGUACCCUCAGAGAAAGCCCCGGCUAACUACGUGCCAGCAGCCGCGGUAAUACGUAGGGGGCAGGCGUUGUCCGGAUUUACUGGGUGUAAAGGGCGCGCAGGCGGGAUAAAAAGUCAGUGGUGAAGUCCUACAGCUUAACUGUAGAACUGCCUUUGAUACGUUUAUUCUUGAGUUCGGGAGAGAGAGACGGAAUUCCAGGUGUAGUGGUGAAAUACGUAGAUAUCUGGAAGAACACCAGUUGCGAAGGCGGUCUCUUGGUCCGACACUGACGCUGAGGCGCGAAAGCGUGGGGAGCAAACA